GGAGUAUCGCCAAAAGUCUGAGUCAUUCACAAGCAAAGAUGGGGUGAGGUUCACCACUAUGUGAACAACUGCAUGAGCAAAUAGUCCAAAAGUUUAAGAACAACGUUUCUCAACGUACAAUUGCAAGGAAUUUAGGGAUUCAUCAUCUACAGUCCAUAAUAUCAUGAAAAGAUUCAGAGAAUCUGGAGAAAUCUAUGCACGUAAGCAGCAAGGCUGACAAACAACAUUCAAUGCCUGUGAUCUUCGAUCCCUCAGGCGGCAGUGCAUUAAAAACCAACAUCAUUAUGUAAAGGGUAUUACCGUGUGGGCUCAGGAACACUUCGGAAAACCAUUGUCAGUUAACACAGUUUGUCGCUACAUCUACAAGUGCAAGUUAAAACUCUGCCAUGCAAAGCGAAAGCCAUACAUCAACAAAACCCAGAAACGCCACCGGCUUCUCUGGGCCUGAGCUCAUCUGAGAUGGACUGACGCAAAGUGGAAAAGUGUGCUGUGGUCUGAUGAGUCCACAUUUCUAAUUGUUUUUGGAAAUCAUGGACAUCAUGUCCUCUGGGCCAAAGAGGAAAAGGACC